CAAAGGAGCAAUCCGCUGAAAGAUGGGCUCGCGUCCGAUUAGGUAGUUGGUGAGGUAACGGCCCACCAAGCCGACGAUCGGUAGCCGGACUGAGAGGUUGGACGGCCACAUUGGGACUGAGACACGGCCCAGACUCCUACGGGAGGCAGCAGUAAGGGAUAUUGGUCAAUGGGGGAAACCCUGAACCAGCAACGCCGCGUGAGGGAAGACGGUUUUCGGAUUGUAAACCUCUGUCCUCUGUGAAGAUGAUGACGGUAGCAGAGGAGGGAGCUCCGGCUAACUACGUGCCAGCAGCCGCGGUAAUACGUAGGGAGCGAGCGUUGUCCGGAUUUACUGGGUGUAAAGGGUGCGUAGGCGGCUGUGCAAGUCAGUAGUGAAAUCCAUGGGCUUAACCCAUGAACUGCUAUUGAAACUGCACAGCUUGAGUGAAGUAGAGGUAGGCGGAAUUCCCGGUGUAGCGGUGAAAUGCGUAGAGAUCGGGAGGAACACCAGUGGCGAAGGCGGCCUACUGGGCUUUAACUGACGCUGAGGCACGAAAGCGUGGGUAGCAAACAGGAUUAGAUACCCUGGUAGUCCACGCUGUAAACGAUGAUUACUAGGUGUGGGGGGACUGAACCCUUCC
rnacentral:rRNA from 1 species